AGAGUUUGAUCAUGGCUCAGGACGAACGCUGGCGGCGCGCCUAAUCCAUGCAAGUCGAGCGACGCAUUCCUUAGCCCGUAAGGGCGGGUUUGACGGAGCGGCGAACGGGUGCGUAACACGUGACCAAUCUGCCCCGAAGACCGGGAUAGCCCGGGGAAACCCGGAUUAAUACCGGAUGAUCUCACCACCACGCAUGUGGAGGUGAGCAAAGGCUCAGGCGCUUCGGGAUGAGGUCGCGGCCCAUCAGCUUGUUGGUGAGGUAACGGCUCACCAAGGCAAUUACGGGUAGCUGGUCUGAGAGGACGAUCAGCCACACUGGAACUGAGAUACGGUCCAGACUCCUACGGGAGGCAGCAGGAGGGAAUCUUGCGCAAUGGGCGAAAGCCUGACGCAGCGACGCCGCGUGGGGGAUGAAUGCCUUAGGGUUGUAAACCCCUUUCACGAGGGAAGAAACUGACGGUACCUCGAGAAGAAGCCCCGGCCAACUACGUGCCAGCAGCCGCGGUAAUACGUAGGGGGCGAGCGUUGUCCGGAUUUAUUGGGCGUAAAGGGCUCGUAGGCGGCUUGNNAGUCGGCCGUGAAAACCCAGGGCUCAACUCUGGGACGCCGGUCGAUACUGCAUGGCUAGGGUCCGGUAANGGGAAUGGAAU
rnacentral:rRNA from 1 species